rnacentral:rRNA from 1 species
UUGAACGCUGGCGGCAGGCCUAACACAUGCAAGUCGAGCGGAUGAAGGGAGCUUGCUCCUGGAUUCAGCGGCGGGCGGGUGAGUAAUGCCUAGGAAUCUGCCUGGUAGUGGGGGAUAACGUCCGGAAACGGGCGCUAAUACCGCAUACGUCCUGAGGGAGAAAGUGGGGGAUCUUCGGACCUCACGCUAUCAGAUGAGCCUAGGUCGGAUUAGCUAGUUGGUGGGGUAAAGGCCUACCAAGGCGACGAUCCGUAACUGGUCUGAGAGGAUGAUCAGUCACACUGGAACUGAGACACGGUCCAGACUCCUACGGGAGGCAGCAGUGGGGAAUAUUGGACAAUGGGCGAAAGCCUGAUCCAGCCAUGCCGCGUGUGUGAAGAAGGUCUUCGGAUUGUAAAGCACUUUAAGUUGGGAGGAAGGGCAGUAAGUUAAUACCUUGCUGUUUUGACGUUACCAACAGAAUAAGCACCGGCUAACUUCGUG